CUGAAGACCUUACCCGAUUAGCUGAGAGGUGGUGCAUGGCCGUCGUCAGUUCGUACUGUGAAGCAUCCUGUUAAGUCAGGCAACGAGCGAGACCCACGUCCACAGUUGCCAGCAUACCCUCCGGGGUGAUGGGUACACUGUGGAGACCGCCGCUGCUAAAGCGGAGGAAGGAGUGGGCAACGGUAGGUCAGUAUGCCCCGAAUCUCCCGGGCUACACGCGGGCUACAAUGGUUGGUACAAUGGGCAUCUACCCCGAAAGGGGAAGGAAAUCUCUUAAAGCCAAUCGUAGUUCGGAUUGAGGGCUGCAACUCGCCCUCAUGAAGCUGGAAUCCGUAGUAAUCGCGUUUCAACAGAACGCGGUGAAUACGUCCCUGCUCCUU
rnacentral:rRNA from 1 species